CUCACAGUGGCCUCCACAGCUCCCCAAGGUUCUGGCCACAUCCCCAGGCUUAAGGAAGAGGAAAAGAAAGUUCCCCUCGUGCCUCAGACCCCAGCUCUGCACUUGGUCCACCAUCCCCACCAGCGAUGUCAGGAAAAUGCCUCGCCAGCAACCCAGCGCUCACCUCUGCCUGUGCUUCCCCUCAUCCACAUCGCAAUUGUUUCAGUGUGGGGUUAAGAGCUGAAGGACAGGAUGCCCCCUUCCCCAGGAGCUGCUGGGGCUUUCGCUGGGCGUGUGCCUACCCACCCACCCACUGUGAGCUGUUGACUUGGUGAUGUGCAUUCCCUGGGAGAGGCCGUCUCACUUGUUUCCUCUCUGGGAUUCCUCCUUGGAGUGCUGGAAGGUGAGAGGGAGUGAGGAGCAGGCAGGGGCUGGGGCUGAUGGACACCCAGGGAAG
rnacentral:lncRNA from 1 species